rnacentral:lncRNA from 1 species
UAUGUUUUCAUUUACCGGAUUCUCGCUCCGCAUUUCUCGUCACGUAUAUUUUUACGUAUUAUCGUUAAACCGGAAUAUAUCGUGCGUUAUUUUCUCUCAAACGAUACGAAGCGUUACAAUAAAUUGUUUCGAGCGCUUAUCUCAAUAAUGACGACGAUAUUUGCGAUUCUAAGAGUCACAUCAUAUUGGUGGCAUAAAUGACGGAAUUUCUAUUUUGUAGCAAGUGUCAUGUAUAUAUCAGUGUUUCGUGUUCGCGUCGUAUCUUGAGAAUCUCUAUUUCGAAAAUCGGAUCUCGGUCAGGAGUAUCGUAGUGUGAAAGUGGAUUACUGGUUACGUAUUUAUGACAAAAUGUGACGAACCGUGAUUAUGGAAGAGCUUGCGAUCCAUGGGGACUCUUAACGUUGGCUUUGAUCAUCUUACAACAAGCAACAGGUUCUCCAUGUUUGUACUUCUCAGACGACACAACGAGAAAGCCAACGACGCGAGUCACGAGGACAUCUACGAGAGAAGAGCACGAGGGAAACUGCUUCCGAGACAAUUGAUCGACGACGAGUAAGCGGAUGCAACCGUGAAGGACGGUAUCCAUUUGUUGCGUAUCAGUGUAGGGCAAGUGUUGCACACUUGCGAUAUAAAACAUCGCGAUACAAGCAUCAUUUUUCGUCGUCACGUCAAAGGAACGAUAGGCUAAGAUGGACUUAUUUCAGUCAGCCAAGCUUCAUCUUAAAAUUCAACUUUAAAUAAUUGAGUUUGUUAUAUUUUAAGUAAGUUAGUUCUUAAUAUAAUAACGAAAGAAUGGGAAAGAACCCUGCGAGUACUUUAGGUUCAGCAUGAGAAAAUAACUCAAAUAACUCUAUGGCAGAGUUAGCUCUACGACGGGUCAAACAAUCUGCAUCGCCCAAAAACGUUUCAUAACUAAAUUUGAUCGCUCUAUCGGACAAAUUGUUUAGCUUAACUCAAAUAUCCGAAUUCAGAAUCAAUUUGGAGCGUAUCAUUUUUCCGUUCCUACGGGCGUGUCUUCCACGUCAGACCUUCUCUUUCCUUUUUAAUACGUACAUGAUGAACAAAAUUGUACAUCGUUGCACAAUAUCUUAUCGCUGGAUGAUGCACACAACGAAUAUACGCAACGGAUGGAUACGGAACUCGAGAAGAGUGGAGAUGAAAAUGGUCGAAGAAGACGGCGAGGAGGCGAGCAGUUGGGGGAUGACGUCUUCAAAAGUAAUUCGAUAAUCGUUAGAGGAUUCCAGUCUACGAGAUCGUUACCGAUUAAUCAAUCACUCGAUCCGUUUUUUACGGGGAUUUGGUUACGUUUAGCAUUCUGGUUCAAAGGUGGAGAAACGAGAGAAGAGUCUGGUGAAUGAAAAGAUAGACUAUGAAAACGAAGCAUCUUGUCGCAACGUAACGUAAAUUUUUCUUGGGAAUGGAGGUGAUCCGCAGGUUUCAACGAUGGUUCGUGAAAGAGAAGAAAAUGGAUAAUCGACAAGGGAGCUGUAACAUUCUGGGAAAAUAAUCGCCAGAGAACUGACACUCGCAACGAUACGAACACGUAGCAUCGUGAUCAUAGCCAAAUCCGUUUCUCCUAUUACGACACACGCCAUUACGCUCUUGACGUAUUAAACGUUCCAUUUAACUGAGGUCUAAGCCCUAGCGAAGCUUAUGCAACAUGUUUGCAAUUGAAUCCCAGCGGCAUUACGUAAAUACUGGCGUGUACCAUGGUGAAGAUUUCUGUUCGGGCUAGCUAAGUCGAGUAUUUGGUCUCGUCGUGUUGUUCUUGGAGAAAGAAGAAGGACAAACCUUUGACAAAAGGCUUAACCAACUGCGUUACAAGCCUGGCACAUCCUUAAUUACGUUUCUCUAAACCCUCUAAACUUCCUUGUAAUUCUUGCUUCGAACCAGUAACUUGGCAAAUCAAUUCUUCUUCUUUGUUUUCGAUGCUUUUCAACGAGCGACUAAUGCUAAUUGCUAAUUCUGCUCAAAGCUAUGUCACUUCGAAACCGAGGAAAAAGAAACUACGACGUUUUUCUGAUUUUGUACAUUGUCUUUUUCAACCUCCAUGUGGGUCUAUGGAGAUUGUCAAUAGCAUUUAUUAACCAAGAUAAAAGAUAAAAAUAAAAGUUAAAUACUCUGAUAUUAUUAUAAGAAACAAGUAAAAGUUCGAUUAGGUUCGGUUUAGGUUUGAUUUGUCGUAUGGUAGUCUGUUUUACGUUUACGAUAUUAAAUACCAUAAAUUCUAAUUAAAUAUUAAACGUGAAAUCGUUCAAAGCAAAGAACAGCGUGUCCAGAAGAAGCUAAACUCGCGAUAUAAAUGUUUGCCUGGUGCUUUCCUUCUUCGUCGCAAAAAUGCGCAAAAUACACGUAACACAAAAAGACAUAUAAAAUAAGCAAAAUAGAUUGCUUGUGAAACGAA